rnacentral:rRNA from 1 species
UACGAAGGGGGCUAGCGUUGCUCGGAAUUACUGGGCGUAAAGCGCACGUAGGCGGAUUGUUAAGUCAGGGGUGAAAUCCUGGAGCUCAACUCCAGAACUGCCUUUGAUACUGAAGAUCUUGAGUGCGGGAGAGGUGAGUGGAACUGCGAGUGUAGAGGUGAAAUUCGUAGAUAUUCGCAAGAACACCAGUGGCGAAGGCGGCUCACUGGCCCGAUACUGACGCUG